rnacentral:rRNA from 1 species
CCUACGGGCGGCAGCAGUGGGGAAUAUUGCACAAUGGGGGAAACCCUGAUGCAGCGACGCCGCGUGAAGGAAGAAGUAUUUCGGUAUGUAAACUUCUAUCAGCAGGGAAGAAAAUGACGGUACCUGACUAAGAAGCCCCGGCUAACUACGUGCCAGCAGCCGCGGUAAUACGGAGGGGGCAAGCGUUAUCCGGAUUUACUGGGUGUAAAGGGAGCGUAGGCGGCGAGGCAAGUCAGAAGUGAAAGCCCGGGGCUCAACUCCGGGACUGCUUUUGAAACUGUAAAACUGGAGUGCAGGAGAGGUAAGCGGAAUUCCUGGUGUAGCGGUGAAAUGCGUAGAUAUUAGGAGGAACACCAGUGGCGAAGGCGGCUUACUGGACUGUAACUGACGUUGAGGCUCGAAGGCGUGGGGAGCAAACAGGAUUAGAUACCCGAGUAGUC